CUGCUCUCUGCUGGACUGGGGAGUCCACACUGUACACUGGAAACUCUCAGGCUGAAUUCCUGUGAUCUGUCAAAGGACUGCUGUGAAGCUCUGGCCUCAGCUCUCAGCUCCAACUCCUCUAGUCUGAGAGAGCUGGACCUGUGU